UUUAAAUGGCAUGAUUGGAAUGUAUGCAUAUAUGUAUGUACGUAUGUAUGUAUGUAUGAACAUAUGCCAAUCAACUGUAUACACCGAUUGCAAAUAAAUAAAUAAAUAACCUUCUAUUGAAAUGCUGCCCCCCUACUCAAUUCUUAUGAAUUAAAAUAAGACUUGUGGGUUUUUAUCAAUCAAAAAGUAAUUGUGUUUGGUAACCAAAAGUUUUCUCCACUCCUUCCUUUCUUUACCUUCCACUUGGCUUUUUCUAUUAUUAUACAUACAAGCACACAUACACACGUACAUAUGUCUGCAUAUAUAUCUAUAUCAACUGAUAUAUGUAAAUAUGUUUUCUUUUCGUUUUGCUUUAUUUUGUUGUACUUUUUUGAGUACAGCAAAUUCACGAGUUUAUCGCCUGAUAUGAAAACGCGUGCGAAACAAGAGAGGGCAUGAACAACAAUAGAAAUUUUGGCAGAGCGUAAAGAACAAAAAAGAGGCAAUGAGGCGAGCGACGCUUUAAAGUUCUUAUUGGAAAUUUAUAUGCAAGCACAUAGAUAUCUAUGUAUAUACACACACACACACGUACUUUGAGGCAGCAGCGUGGCAACAGCGAAAGCGUAGGUGGAGUAGAGUAGAAGAAGCAAACAUAAUUAAACGAAAAACAAUGCAAAAUAAGCUCAGCUUUAUUGAUGAAAGCCAGACAUAUCCAGAUAGAUCCAAGCAAUAUCCGUUAGGUGCAAAGUGCUCAAAGAGCGGGCGAGAAGGAGACAGAGGAAGUCAGCGGGAGACAGGUAAAGAGUAUAUCAAACGAUAACUGUACUUUGACAACAGUUUGAGCUGCUAUAGAGAACAAAUUGAGUUAUAGCCUGUCCAGCUGCCCAGGCUAUAGUCUGCGACCUUGUUGGGGUUGUUGCUGCCGCUUCUGCGGCUGCUGUUGCUGCUGCGGCUGAUGCCAAUCACUUUGUUUACUCGUGAUAUAAGUACAUAUGUAUGUACAUACAUAUAUGAGCAAAAAGAAUGUAUUCCUGUUUGACGUAAGCUUAAGAAAAUUAUAUGAAAUAUUUCCUCUGUUAAAUAUACAUGUAUGCAUGUGCCCAUGUGUGUGCGUGUGUAGCUUUGUAAUACAGCAACCAUAGACCAAUACAGUUUUACAGUCACUGCUCAGUUUAUCAGCCGCAAGUUUGUUGUUGGUUUAGAAUUAUUUAUAGCUCUUUUGAGUUAAUUAUCUCUUAAAAUUAUUAAUAAUCAUUAAGUGCACUGAAUAAACGUCUCGAUGCUUCAAUUCCAAUAAGAUGCCAAUAAGACAGCCAAUAUUUCUGUGCGCGUGAAUCAUAAGCUAUUGCGUAUGUAGUGGCAAACGAAAUACGUCGAAUUGGAAUGUGAAAACUAGAAAGUACAAGAAAAGGAUAGCACGAUAUCGUGGUCUUUUUGUUGUGAUUGCCGCAUCAGAAGCAGCAGUAGUAGUAACAGUUGUAGCAGCUGCGAGGCGACAUCAACAGCAACAACAACAAACUUGAAAACAGCUGCACAUGGCAACAGCGCAUGUCGAACUGUAAUAUUUUCGAACACGCCGUCCGCAAGGACAAUAACUGUACCCUAAAGAUAACACACAAUGGAUUUGCAAAAAGUACAUUUCAUUUGCACGAAUGCAAGAUCAGAAGCCAACUAUUAAGCGAAAUAUAUUGCCGCUUUCAUGCCUUUAAAAUUUCUAUUCAUUUAUUGAUUUUUCCGAUAAAGUGUUUAAAGAGAUUUGAUGAGAAAGAAAAGAAG